GGUAUCGUAGCUCAGUUGGUAGAGCAAAGGACUGAAAAUCCUUGUGUCGACGGUUCGAUUCCGCCCGAUACCA
rnacentral:tRNA from 1 species